UACAUUUGAUGUGUUUCUCACAUCGUUUCUGUGCAUCCAAGAUUGCAAUUGAAUAUAUGAGAAUUUAGCUAUAUUAGAGAUAUUAUUUUAUUUUUGUAACAUGUAAAAGUCGCAAAGCGUAUCAUUCUGAACCAACUGAUACAGGGAAGUUAUCCCAAACAUAUGACAGGAUUUGUAAUUGAAGUCUGGUAUGAGAGUGGAGAGAGCCUCUAUGAGCAGUGCUAGGGAAAUUUGUGUGCCAGUGUUGUGUUUGUGUCUGUAUUAAUCCCAAUAGUGAAGUGUCACCUCAGUGGUUGGUAGUAUGCUCGGGUAUUUGCCGUGCAAAGAUGUUGGAGUCCAUGCUAGAGUAAAAUGUAACCUUGUACUGCAGAGAACCCCUGAGUCUCACAGAAUGUAAUAAUUUAAUUGUUUCAUUCAUUUAUAUUGCAGCUAUGAGAGUUUAUAAUUAGG